rnacentral:rRNA from 1 species
AACGUAGGACACAAGCGUUAUCCGGAGUUACUGGGCUUAAAGCGUGUGUAGGCGGAUCGUUAAGUGCCUUGUGAAAUCCCACGGCUUAACUGUGGAACGGCUGGGCAUACUGGCGGUCUUGAGCCAUCUAGGGGCGACUGGAACAAACGGUGGAGCGGUGAAAUGCGUAGAUAUCGUUUGGAACGCCAAUGGUGAAAACAGGUCGCUGGGGAUGAGCUGACGCUGAGACACGAAAGCCAGGGGAGCAAACGGG